rnacentral:snoRNA from 1 species
AAUCCAUGAUGAGGGCAUUGAGCUUGGUAGCCUUUGAAUCUCUCUCAGGCUUCACUGAAUCCUUCCAAGCCUUUCUGUUGAAAGCUGGAGAUCUCAUUUCUCAUCUU